rnacentral:lncRNA from 1 species
UGUCCAGGGGGCGCCCACACAUCUGGGGAGGGGUCCCAGGUGUCCAGGGGGGACCCAGGUGUCCGGGGGGCACCCACACAUCUGGGGAGGGGUCCCAGGUGUCCGGGGGGGGACCCAGGUGUCCAGGGAGGGGUCCCAGGUGUCCAGGGGGCACCCACACAUCUGGGGAGGGGUCCCAGGUGUCCGGGGGGGGACCCAGGUGUCCAGGGAGGGGUCCCAGGUGUCCAGGGGGCACCCACACAUCUGGGGAGGGGUCCCAGGUGUCCAGGGAGGGGUCCCAGGUGUCCAGGGGGGGCACCCAGGUGUCCAGGGGGGGGACCCAGGUGUCCGGGGGGGGGACCCAGGUGUCCGGGGGGGGACGCAGGCCUCUGGGCCACCUACCCUUGGCCGCCGGCGUCAAGAAGCUCUGGGUGGGCUCCAGGAAGAGGUCGAGAUCUUCUGUGGGGUGGGAAGGACCUUGAGAAAGGACCCGGGUGUCCACGCGGGGGGGGACCCAGGUGACCAGGGCGCCCCCACUUACCCUCGGUGUCCCUGUCACUCCCGGAGGCCAAAUUUGGGUCCACGUGUGGGGAUUUGGGGGUGGAAACAUCUGGCGGCACAGCUGGAUCCCUGCCCCUCGCUGAGGGCUCCCCGCUGCAUUGCUGGCACCCAACAUCUGGAUUCGGGGCCUCCACAUCUGGAUUUGGGGCUAAAUCGCAGCGGUUUGGGACCAUUCCUUCCACACUCGUGUCACCCUCAGUUUUUAAGAGAAAGCCCUGCCUUUUUCGGGACAAUUUCCAGUGUUUUGGGUCCAUCUUCUCCACGGCAGCGUCACUGCCUGUUUCAACAUCUGGAUGGGGAUGAUUUUGGAAGCGGAGGUGGCUCCGCAGGCUCCGAACAUCUGGAGUGGGGGCCACCUCCUCCACGUCGGUGUCGCUGCUGCUCCGGGGGCUUGUGGGAGAGGGAACAUCUGGAUUUGGGGGUGUCAUCGCCACAUCUGGCUCACCAGAUGCCCUUUGACAUCUUUGCACUGUCCCAACAUCUGGAAGGACAACAUUGUCCUCAACAUCUCUAUCGCUGUCCACACCCAGGACCAGGCACUGGGCUUUGGGAGCUCCAACAUCUGGAGCUGGGAACGUCACCUUCACAUCUGGAUCAUCCUUGGUCCGCAUCGGCCCCUUGGGAUCAACAUCUGGAGCAGUGGCCACCUGAGCAACUGUAUCCAUGCCCUCAUGGCCUGUCCCACAUGGGUUUGGAGGUCCAACGUUGGGAAGGGCAUUGAGGUCCUCCACACCUGUAUCGCUGUCACCAUUGGAGGCCACCGAGCCAUGGCUGAGGCCACCAACAUCUGGAUUCGGAGUCUCCAUCACCACAGUUGGGUCCUUCCGGGUGUUUUGGGGUGUUUUGUGGCUUUUUGGGCGAAGAACAAAAAGGUCUUCUUCCUCCACAUCUGUGUCACUGUCCACUUCCAGGUCCUGACGCUCAUUUGGGGCAUUUUCAACAUCUGAUUUUGGGUUCUGCGUCUCCACAUCUGGAUCUCUGCAUUUGGGGGGGGCAAUUCUAUGGGUUUUUUUACGCCCAACAUCUGGAUUCCCCUCAUUCUCCUCCACGUCUGUAUCGCUGUCCACCACAAGGGUCCAUUGUUUGUUUUGGGGUGGAUCUGGCCUCUCCGUCUCCACGUCUGGGUUUCUGGGUACAUUUUGGGUUGCUCCACGGGUUUUUUUACUCCCAACAUCUGGAUUGGAAAUGUCCUCUUCCACAUCUGUAUCACUCUCCACGAGGAGACUCCAGCGUCCUUCAACAUUGCGAACUGUGGUCUCUGUCUUCACAUCUGGGCCUCUGGGGGCUCUUCUGGGGCUUUCUGAACACCCAACAUCUGGACUGGCAGUGUCCUCCUCCACAUCUGUAUCACUGUCCACCACAAGCAUCUGGUGGCCCUUUUGUGAGUCUUCAACAUCUACACGUUGCGUCUCCACCUCAAUAAUGUUUUGGGUCGUUUGAUGGGGUUUAGGGUGUCCAACAUCUGGAUUGUCUUCAUUCUCCUCCACAUCUGUGUCACUGUCCACCAGGAGCAUCUGAUGCCCAUUUUGUGAACCUUCAACAUCUGCACUGUGGGUCCCCAUCUCGCUAUUCCAGUUUUUAGACAUAUUUUGGGUCUUUUGAUGGGUUUGGGGGCACCCAACAUCUGGACUGGCUCCAUUCUCUUCCACAUCUGUAUCACUGUCCACCACGAGCAUCUGGUGUCUGUUUCUGGGCCCUUCAACAGCUGCGUUUGAGCUCUCCAUCUCCACAUCUGUAUCACUGUCCACAACUGUCCGGCAUCCAUUUUUGGGACCUCCAACAUCUGGAUGGGAGGUCUCCAUCUCCAAGCCUGUUUUUUGGGCCACGUAUGGGUCCUUUCUACAUAUUUUUGGGCACACAGUGUCUGGAAGGACCUCAACCUCCUCCACAUCUGUGUCGCUGUCCACCACAAUCAUCCGACAUCGAUUUUUGGUACCUCCAACAUCU